AUUACGUCCCUGCCCUUUGUACACACCGCCCGUCGCUACUACCGAUUGAAUGGCUUAGUGAGACUUUCGGAUGUGUUUGGAGCCGCUGGCAACAGUGACACCUUGCGCAGAAGUUGUUCAAACUUGGUCAUUUAGAGGAAGUAAAAGUCGUAACAAGGUUUCCGUAGGUGAACCUGCGGAAGGAUCAUUA
rnacentral:rRNA from 1 species